rnacentral:lncRNA from 1 species
CAAUCCAAAACUAACAAGCAGAAUAAAAUAAAUGAAAAAGCAACAAAUAUUGAAAUAUCAAACAAGUAAAGAUCAUUGACUCGUGCUAACACAGUGACACAGUACCAGCGCGUGUCCUUGCAUAUACCAAAAUUGAAAGAAAACUUUUAACUCCAAUUCUUGGAAAACUGGUCUUCAUUCUAACAGAGAGUUUGUGGCGUUCGGUCAUCAGUGCUUAAACUGAGCGAUACCUUGAGUCUUAUUCCUUACGUCCCAGGCGAUAGACCAUCUUCUACCAUUUGGCGAGCUAUCACUAACCCACUUACACCUUCGUGGAGUUUAUCUUCUCUUUAUGUGUAGGUAUGGGCUUUUUGAUAGGAAACAACGCCUUCAUCAAUUUUCGGAACGAUGAAUGAAUUGAUGGCAUUGUCCUCAAAUUGGCCUUCCCCCAAUUUUUCGCUCUAACCAUCAACAAAUUCG